GCUAACUUGCUAACAACGCUAAGUAACGUGCCGAAUGAUGGAUUCUCCAGCGGGAUUUCUGCGUUAGUAGGAACGUUUACCUCCAGUUAAGUGUGUGAAAACUGUGUGUGGACUGGUUAUACUGGGACAGAGAGGCCGAGUGGACUGGUUAUACUGGGACAGAGAGGCCGAGUGGACUGGUUAUAUUCGGUUAUAUUAGCCUGAGCACGGUGAACCAGCAGAAGUUGAACCUGGAGCAGGUCAACGAGAAUCCCGUUCGGACUGUGUUGGCCUAAGGUUGCGUGAUUCACGGAGAUGGGACAGAAUCCAGCAACAUCAAAUCCACACCAGGAUUAUUGAGCUUUCACUGAAGAGUUGUUUUUCAGACUAUAGUGCGACCCGCCUCCUCCCCUUCCACCUCCCGGCCUUUUAGACAUUUUGUGUUCUCGCUCUUCUCCCGGCUGUCGGCUUGGUUUCGUCUUCGGCUUUUUCUCGCCACCACCAGUGUCUGGUUUCCAUUGGGGGAUGUGUUUGGUUUUCCUAAACCAUGACAUUUGUAUAGAUACCCCUUAACAAUGGAGACUAAUCUCCAAAUAACUUGU